rnacentral:rRNA from 1 species
GAUGAACGCUAGCGGGGGGCCUAACACAUGCAAGUCGAGCGGUAUUGUUUCUUCGGUGUUGAGAGAGCGGCGUACGGGUGCGUGAGACGUGUGCAAGCUGCCUUUAUCUGGGGGAUGGCCAUUCGAAAGGAAGAUUAAUACUCCCUAAUAAAUAGAACGUCAUCGUUUAAUAUUGAAAGCUCCGGCGGAUAGAGAUGGGCAGGCGCAAGAUUAGGUAGUUGGUGAGGUAGCUGCUGACGAAGGCGCUCAUCUAUAGGGGGCCUGAGAGUGUGAUCCCCCAGACUGGGACCGGGACCAGGACCAGACGGCUACGGGAGGCAGCAGUGCGGAAGAUUGGUAAGUGGGUGCAAGCCUGAACCAGCGAGCCCGCGUGAAGGACGACUGCCCGAUGGGUUGUAGACUUCUGGUGGAAAGGGAUAAACGUAUCCAAGGGAGGGUAAGUGAAGGUACUAGACGAAUAAGCACCGGCUAACUACGUG